GGGCGGCGGGAGCGAGCGUGCGCGCGGCCAGGAAGCUUGGGCGGCGGGUCUUGCCUGUGACUGCUGUGGAGGCUGCUGGUCCUGCCUUAAACGGCCGCGGAGGCGGCGGCUGUUCCAGACACCUGCGGCGGCGGCGACCCCCGGGCGGCGCGGAGAUGUGGCCCUUGGUGGCAGCGCUGUUGCUGAGUUCGUUUUGCAGCGGUUCAGCCCAGCUACUAUUUAAUAAAACCAAAUCAGUAGAAUUCACCUUUUGCAAUGAAACUGUUGUCAUCCCAUGUUUUGUUAUUAAUGUGGGGGCACAAAACACUAACGAAAUGUAUGUGAAGUGGAAAUUUAAAGGAAAAUACAUUUUCAUCUAUGAUGGAGGCCAAGACAACGCUACUAUGGACAGUAACUUUUCAAGUGCAAAAAUCGCGGUCUCAGAAUUACUUAAAGGAGAUGCUUCUUUGAAGAUGGAUAAGCGUGAUGCAAAAGUAGGAAACUACACAUGUGAAGUAACAGAAUUAACCAGAGAAGGUGAAACAGUUAUAGAACUCAAAUAUCGUGUUGUGUCAUGGUUUUCUCCAAAUGAAAAUAUCCUCGUCGUUAUUUUCCCAAUUUUGGCUAUACUUCUCUUCUGGGGACAAUUUGGCAUUUUAACACUUAAAUAUAAAUCCAACUGUACAAAUAAGAAAAUCAUCCUUUUACUUAUUGCUGGACUACUGCUCACUACAAUUGUCAUUGUUGGAGCCAUUCUCUUUGUCCCAGGAGAAUAUUCAGUAAAGAAUGCUUCAGGACUUGGUUUCAUCGUAAUUUCUACAGGGAUAUUAAUAUUACUUCAGUACAAUGUGUUUAUGACAGCUUUUGGGAUGACCUCCUUCACCAUUGCCAUAUUGAUCACUCAGGUGUUGGGCUAUGUGCUCGCUGUGGUUGGACUAUGUCUCUGUAUCAUGGCGUGUAUACCAGUGCAUGGCCCUCUUCUGAUUUCAGGUUUGGGUAUCAUAGCUCUAGCAGAAUUACUUGGACUAGUUUAUAUGAAAUUUGUGGAGUGCAGAGAGAGACCUUCGGUCAGUUGAAAGGCAAGAAGAGAAAAGCUUCUAAUCAGAGGACUAUACAAGCUCCUAGGAAAGCUGUAGAGGAACCACUUAAUGCGUUUAAAGAAUCAAAAGGAAUGAUGAAUGAUGAGUAACUGAAGUGAAGUGAAGGACUCUGGUUUGGAGAGUCAUGGAACCUGAAGGAGUACACUUGUAUUUAAAGACCCCGGCCUUGAUGAUUCACUCUUGGGAAGAAGAAGAAAAAAAAAAAAUAAGAAAAGUAACUGGUACUCAUCUGUAAGAGAAAAUAAGUCAUUGACCCGUAAAUGAUUAUUAUCACAGUUUUUAUUCAAAACAACUGUAAUUUAGUUAAUAAAAGAAUUCUGAUCUGUGUCGUGUGCCCGGUUGAGAUCCAAUUUUCUGUUAUUUCUAUUUAAUUGGGGACAAAAGUAGAGGGAGCAACUUCCAAGGAUGAUACUUUCCAUAUCCUCGGGCCUCUCGACUCUGGGUUUAAAUUGGUUCAGGGUGAGAAUGACCUAACACUAACCUGAUGGUCACCCAGUAACAUCUGUGAAAAUCAGUGGCUUCUAUCCAAGCUUAGUAAACUCAGGUUCCCAGCAUCCAUGGCAGUUAGGCUGUUAGCUGAAUAAGGUGUCUGCCACUUCUGGGUCGGGAAUAGUGACUUAUUAAGUGGAGACAGGAAUUUGGUUGGGAACAUCUUGUAUGCCACUUACCUGUGCUAUGACGUCACUGGAUAUAGGGACCUUCAUUCUUGGGGGUUGCCAUUCGCACAGUGUCCCUUCAGCCUACAGUGUAACAGAUACUUCCCAGAUGUGGGUUGCUUUUAUUGACGGAUGUGUUUUUCUUUAAUUCACACAACCCUUGGGACCCUUCUUUGCCCUCCUGUUACUCGCUUCUGCUGGACAGGAUGUAGCACCGAUUCUCCUCUCUGAACGUGGUCCAGUGACGCAGUAGCAUCAGUUGCAGAAAGGAGCCAGACUUGUUUUCAGAGCACUGUGUUCACACUUUUCGGCAAAAAUAGCUAUGGUUGUAACAUGUGUAUUCCCUUCCUCUGGUUUGAAGGCAAAACUCUACGGUGUUUCUUCACUUAUUUUCUGAUUGGAGGCAUGACAAAAGCAAGACUGAAAUCUGAACUAUGAGUCUCCUGCAUGGCAACCUUCUGUGUGUCUCCAUCAGGCCGUGGGCCAGCCCUCGAGGGGGGCGCUCCUCCUGUUGUGUCUCUGUUGCAUGAUAACCACUCAUCCGCUUCCUCCUGUAGUCCUGCCUCCUGCUCCCCCUCCCCUGAGAUUGAAAAGUAAAACAGAACCACAUUUCCUACCCCAGUUAGAAGAAAAAAAAUAACGUUCUGACAGUGUGAUCGCCUGGAGUACUUUUAGAUUCUUAGCACUCGUUUUUUACCUCGUUUGUGGAUGUGUGUUUGUAUGUGCACAUGUAUAAGGUAGGCUCCUGCUGCUUCUGUAGGGACAGAAGUGCCGUACCUACAGGAGAGCCCGUGCUGACUUUGUGCUUUUAGUAAAAACAUUUAAAAACAAAAGGUCCUUAUCAGGUGGAAUUAUAUUUGAUGCAAAUAUUUGAUCACUUAAAACUUUAAAAACUUCUAGGUAAUUCGCCAAGCUUUUUGACUGCUCACCAAUGCCCUCUAAAAAUACUAGUGAUUCUUCCUGUUUGUGUAAUGAGACUUUCAUAUUCAUAGUGCCAUCACUGAUAGUUAUUUCUUAGUCUCCUGGAUGUUUCCAUGUGCCUCUUUUAUGCCCAAUUUAUUGUCAUAUUUCAUGUUGGGACCAAGUGGUUUGCCCACGGCAGACCUAAACUUAUAACCUGCUGAGGCCCCUCAGAAAAUUGAACACACUAUCAAGACAGUUCUUCCCUGAUGGAGUAGCUGUCCAAAAUAUUAGUCUAUGGAGAGGGAGCUGUAUUUCUUUAUACAAAUCUAAUGGCUCCUGCUGCCCUUCUCCUGGAAAUAUUUGCACUUUGCUAAUAUCGUUUGUUACUUUAGAAAUUAAUUUUGAUGAAAAGAGCAAAAAAAAAAAGCAGAUGGACUUGAAAAAGAUCCAAAUUCUUAUUCUCCA